ensembl:lncRNA
CUUCCCUGAUGGCUCAGAUGGUAAAGAAUCUGCCUGCAAUGCAGAAGAGUCGUGUAUGACCCCUGGGUUGGGAUGAUUCCUUGGAGGAGGGCAUGGCAACCCACUCCAGUGUUCUUUCCUGGAGAAUUCCAAGGACAGAGGAGCCUGGCGGGUACAGUCCAUUGGGUCACAAAGAGUCGGACAUGACAGAACAACACAGCAGAACGCACAGGAGCAGCUCCUCUAGAAGUGUUUCCUUCACACAAUGUUUGGAUUCUAAUGCUGUACCUGGCCUAACUGUAUCCCUAAAAAGGGCUGGCAGGAAAGAAUGUCCUAAGGUCCUCCAGAAAGAAGGACUAUGGGUCAGGAGAAGGAAGCUCAGAAUCGACGAGGGACAAAAGAUAUUUACUGACUACACUAUUUGUCAAAUACUGAGCCUUCUCUCAUUUAAUCAUCUCAGUGACCGUGAGACUUAGGUAUUACUUUAAAACCCCUACUGUACAGAUGAGAAAAUUCUAAGCCUUAUUUGUCCAAGGUAAUCAAAUGUAUAAGUGAGAGAACUAGGAUUUGAACUUUGACUCCAAAGUCUACCUUUCUCUAAACUGCUUCAAAAUAUAACCAUUUCAUUAUAUUUCCCUAUAGAAGCCUGACCCAUAGGGGGGUUAUGGUGUCAGCGAUGACACUGGAAAUGUUGCUUUAUGAUGUUGCGAUCAUGAUGCGUCACAAGUCUACUUUUCUUAUUAGCUGGAGACGAUAAUGUUUUGCGUAUAACAGCCACAGAAUUUGCUUCAGGCAAGUCCUCUUUGGGUCAGUCACCAUGGCUGUGAAUUUAUGUACAUCAUUUUUAUUUAAGCAUUUUUUUAGUUUCUUAUGAAUCAAGUGUCAGAGAACUCUCCAUUGCAAUUUAUUCCUAGUUUGUACCAUAGAGCAUUUCAAGUAUCAUAGGGAGGGGCUGCCCUGGUAGCUCAGUGGCAAAGAAUCCACCUGCCAGUGCAGGGAACAUGGGUCUAAUCCCUAGUCCAGGAAGAUCCCACAUGCCGCAAAGCAGCUGAGCCUGGGCCUCACAGCUCCUGAGCCUGCGCUCCAGAGCCUGCAAGCUACAGCUAGAGCCUGCACUCUCCAACGAGAGAAGCCACUACAAGAAGAAGCCCACAUGGCAAAGAAGACCCAGCGCAGCCAAAAAG